GUGUGCAAUGAGUGAGGAUAACUCUGGCACCUGGUUGCUGAGAUCACGACAGCCCUGCCCACCAGCGAGAUCGGGCAGCCCUGGAUGUGCGAGUGCCAAGGGGCAAGAGCGCAUCUGGGUCAUCACGCCCCCCACAAGCAGCCAGUCCAGGGCCCGUCUGCGACGCCAGACCCUGCCCGUGGCCAGCCACUUUUCCAGAGGAAAGCACGGCCCCACAGGAGGCCCCACCCGCCCCGUCACAGCUUUGAAGACCCCCGCACAGAAGCCAGGGGCUCAGCGAAGUCCUGUGUGAAUUACUCCUUGAUCAAGUGGAGCAGAGUGAAAGCAGAGCUGCCGUUCCAUUGUUCUCUCUCCAGGCGCAGAAGAAUGUGCUCAGACAGAGUGUCUGGGGAAGCUGACUUCUGUGUCUGUUCCGCCCACCCACUUCCCAGUUUCGAAUGA
rnacentral:lncRNA from 1 species